rnacentral:rRNA from 1 species
AUACAUGCAAGUCGAACGCUUCUUUCCUCCCGAGUGCUUGCACUCAAUUGGAAAGAGGAGUGGCGGACGGGUGAGUAACACGUGGGUAACCUACCCAUCAGAGGGGGAUAACACUUGGAAACAGGUGCUAAUACCGCAUAACAGUUUAUGUCGCAUGGCAUAAGAGUGAAAGGCGCUUUCGGGUGUCGCUGAUGGAUGGACCCGCGGUGCAUUAGCUAGUUGGUGAGGUAACGGCUCACCAAGGCCACGAUGCAUAGCCGACCUGAGAGGGUGAUCGGCCACACUGGGACUGAGACACGGCCCAGACUCCUACGGGAGGCAGCAGUAGGGAAUCUUCGGCAAUGGACGAAAGUCUGACCGAGCAACGCCGCGUGAGUGAAGAAGGUUUUCGGAUCGUAAAACUCUGUUGUUAGAGAAGAACAAGGACGUUAGUAACUGAACGUCCCCUGACGGUAUCUAACCAGAAAGCCACGGCUAACUACGUGCCAGCAGCCGCGGUAAUACGUAGGUGGCAAGCGUUGUCCGGAUUUAUUGGGCGUAAAGCGAGCGCAGGCGGUUUCUUAAGUCUGAUGUG